AUUAGCAGCGCAUGCUUACGAAGCGCUUCUGGCCGCUUGAGCCGGAGCAGCGGUCUGACUUUUUCGUGUGCGCUGGAACAGUGUAUACGCUCGUCCUCGUCGCCGCUCAAACGAGCUAUCUGCAGCAUCACUGAGCAUGACGGGGUGCCCCGCACCGGGGUCGCACGAAUCGCAACGAAAGCGGCAGAGCAGUGGCAUGGUUCGCAAAAGUUUUCAAGGGCGCCAGAAAUUUCGGCGCUUCAACUGCAUGGACUGGCAGAAAAUGGCCCACUAAGGUUCACUGAACAAGUUGGACGAGGCUCAUGGAUUCACGGACAGUGCGGCAGGAGUGCGCAAGAACAAAGUACAAUGAAGACCUCACUCUAGUAACAGGCUCAUGGAUUCACGGACAGUGUGGCAGGAGUGCGCAAGAACAACGUACAAUGAAGACCUCAUUCCGGUAACAGAUUCAAUCUGCCAUGUUCAAGUAACGUCAGGUAUAUGUGUGUCUGCCUUUUCUUAUUGACAAAGACACCCACCCACUUCGAGGAUACUGUAUCUGCAGGCAUGGAGCUGCGGGCACUUGCAAACGCUGUACUGCUGUGGCAUAACACAUUACAAGAUAUGAAGAUGUACAGAGCUGGGAACAACCAUCAAAAGUGCAACGCCUUGAUGACAAAGCGUCGAUUGAGGAGGUCUUUGGCAAGGCCGAGAGCAGCCGCGCCAGCUUCGGGAGCGCGGUUGCUAUGGCAACGCUGACGUUUGGGGUACCAGUGCCUGCGCUCCUUUGCGAAAAGCAGCACGUGACUUCCGCCACACUUUC